CGGGGGGAGCAAGCGUUGUUCGGAUUUACUGGGCGUAAAGGGCGCGUAGGCGGUCAGCACGAGUCAGUUGUGAAAUCUCCGGGCUUAACUCGGAAAGGUCAACUGAUACUGUGCGACUAGAGUGCAGAAGGGGCAACUGGAAUUCUCGGUGUAGCGGUGAAAUGCGUAGAUAUCGAGAGGAACACCUGCGGCGAAGGCGGGUUGCUGGGCUGACACUGACGCUGAUGCGCGAAAGCCAGGGGAGCGAACGGGAUUAGAUACCCCGGUAGUCCUGGCCUUAAACGAUGGAUGCUUGGUGUCUGGAGUUUUAUAGUCUCCGGGUGCCGUAGCUAACGCGUUAAGCAUCCCGCCUGGGGAGUACGGUCGCAAGACUG
rnacentral:rRNA from 1 species